UCUACAGCCAUACCACCCUGAACACUCCCAAUCCCGUUUUAUCUCGGAAGCUAAGCAGGGUGGGGCCUGGUUAGUACUUGGCUGGGAGACCACCUAGGAAGAUCAGGUGCUGUUAGGU
rnacentral:rRNA from 1 species